AUUGAACGCUGGCGGCAUGCUUUACACAUGCAAGUCGAACGGUAACAGGUCUUCGGAUGCUGACGAAUGGCGAACGGGUGAGUAAUACAUCGGAACGUGCCUAGUAGUGGGGGAUAACUACUCGAAAGAGUGGCUAAUACCGCAUGAGAUCUACGGAUGAAAGCAGGGGAUCGAAAGACCUUGUGCUACUAGAGCGGCCGAUGGCAGAUUAGGUAGGUGGUGGGAUAAAAGCUUACCAAGCCGACGAUCUGUAGCUGGUCUGAGAGGACGAUCAGCCACACUGGGACUGGGACACGGCCCAGACUCCUACGGGAGGCAGCAGUGGGGAAUUUUGGACAAUGGGCGAAAGCCUGAUCCAGCAAUGCCGCGUGCAGGAUGAAGGCCUUCGGGUUGUAAACUGCUUUUGUACGGAACGAAAAGCCCUGGGUUAAUACCCUGGGGUCAUGACGGUACCGUAAGAAUAAGCACCGGCUAACUACGUGCCAGCCGCCGCGGUAACAC
rnacentral:rRNA from 1 species